GGGAUGAAGCAGUACCGUAAGGAGCUGUGGACUGCAUGGAAGAGAGAAUGCCGGAAUGAGUAGCGAGAUAGAGGUGAGAAUCCUCUAGGCCGAAUAUCCAAGGUUUCCAGGGUAAAGCUGAUCUGCCCUGGGUAAGUCGGGGCCUAAGGUGAGGACGAGAGUCGUAGCCGAUGGACAACAGGUGGAGAUUCCUGUACUAUGAUAUGACAGAACUGUGGGGACACGUGCAGAGAGCGGAAGCCGGGAAUGGGAUCCCGGUGCAAGCGAGGUACCAGUCACAUUGGAAAAACCGUGUGGCAAUGGGAAGACGUGAUGCGGAGUGAAGUUUAGUAAUGAAGUCCGUGAGCUGUGCGUCAAGAAAAGCCGCUAUUGUUCAUACCAUACCCGUACCGUAAACCGACACAGGUGGAUGAGGAGAGAAUCCUAAGGCCGGCGGAAGAAGCAUUGUCAAGGAACUCGGCAAAAUGACCCCGUAACUUCGGGAGAAGGGGUGCCUGUGAGAGCAGGCCGCAGAGAAUAGGCUCAAGCAACUGUUUAGCAAAAACACAGGUCUAUGCGAAACCGAAAGGUGAGGUAUAUGGGCUGACGCCUGCCCGGUGCUGGAAGGUUAAGAGGAGAGGUUAGCGCAAGCGAAGCCUUGAAUUUAAGCCCCAGUAAACGGCGGCCGUAACUAUAACGGUCCUAAGGUAGCGAAAUUCCUUGUCGGGUAAGUUCCGACCCGCACGAAAGGCGUAAUGAUUUGAGCGCUGUCUCGACAAUGCAUCCGGUGAAAUUGAAGUACCAGUGAAGAUGCUGGUUACCUGCGCCAGGACGGAAAGACCCCAUGGAGCUUUACUCCAGUUUGGUACUGGGAUCCGGUACUGCAUGUACAGGAUAGGUGGGAGGCUGAGAAUCGGUAACGCCAGUUGCCGAGGAGCCGCUGUUGGGAUACCACCCUUGCAGUAUUGGGUUUCUAACCAGCCGCCGUGACCCGGCGGUGGGACAAUGCCAGACGGGGAGUUUGACUGGGGCGGUCGCCUCCGAAAGGGUAUCGGAGGCGCCCAAAGGUUCCCUCAGGAUGGACGGAAACCAUCCAAAGAGUGCAAAGGCAGAAGGGAGCUUGACUGCGACACCGACGGGUGGAGCAGGUACGAAAGUAGGGCUUAGUGAUCCGGUGGUAUUAAGUGGGAAUGCCAUCGCUCAACGGAUAAAAGCUACCCUGGGAUAACAGGCUUAUCACUCCCAAGAGCUCACAUCGACGGAGUGGUUUGGCACCUCGAUGUCGGCUCAUCGCAUCCUGGGGCUGUAGUAGGUCCCAAGGGUUGGGCUGUUCGCCCAUUAAAGCGGUACGCGAGCUGGUUUCAGAACGUCGUGAGACAGUUCGGUCCCUAUCCGGCGUGGGCGUAGGAUAACUGAGAGGAGCUGUCCUUAGUACGAGAGGACCGGGAUGGACGGGCCGCUGGUGCACCGGUUAGACUGCCAAGUCUAUAGCCGGGUAGCCAAGCCCGGAAGGGAUAAACGCUGAAGGCAUCUAAGCGUGAAGCCCCCCUCAAGAUGAGAUAUCCCAUCCGAAAGGAGUAAACCCCCUUGAUACGACGAGGUCGAUAGGGCAGAGGUGGAAGUGUGGUAACACAUGGAGCUGACUGCUACUAAUAGGGUGAGGGCUUGACC
rnacentral:rRNA from 1 species